GUGGCGCAGUUGUUAACGCGUCGGACUUCGAAUCUGAAGGUUGAUGGUUCAAGUCCAUGUC
rnacentral:tRNA from 1 species